UCCGCAUUGGUGUAAUGGUAACAUCACUGGUUUUCAUAGAAAACCUAUAACCCAGUAGCUCGGGGUUCAAUUCCCCGAUGCGGAA
rnacentral:tRNA from 1 species